UAGCGUCCUUCGCGCUGCACCCGUGCCUCCUUCCCUCGGCAUGGUGCCACCAACCCACCAUCUCUUCCCUCCCACAGCUCAUCGCCGACGGCCUCUCCUCUCCCAUCCGCUUCCCUCCCACAGCACGCGGAAUGCCUCCUCCCUGAUCCAACGCACCGCCGCCUCCUCCCCGAUCCAGAUCCAAUGCGUCAUCGCCUCCUCCCUGAUCCAGAUCGACACGUCGGCUCUCUUACCUUGCUGGCAGGUUCCUCCGCCGUCGCUGCCCCCUCCUCCCCCUGCCUCGGCCAUCCUCCCUUCCGCCACCCCCGCCUGCUCCGCCUACUGCACCGCCGCCUCCGACGCCAUGUUGGACACGGACAGCAGUAGCAACCCGCUGCUCGCCGACUUCGACUUCCCACCCUUCAGCCGCGUCGAGCCCACACACGUACGCCCCGGGAUCCGCGUGCUCCAUGCCUGCCUCUUGAUUCUUGGGCUUGGACAUGGAGAGGUAGACUAGCUUCCUCCUGGGCGCGCUUGAGAAGCUCAAGAGCUUCCGGGGGAUGGAUAACUUCAGGUGAAGCAAGGACAACCCUGGCAAGCACGAUGACACGCCGCUCCACCUCGCGGCGAGGGCCGGCAACGUCUCCAACGUCCAGAGGAUCCUUGCUGAAUCCGGCCUGGAGAUGGCCGAGCUGGAGCCCGCGUCGUAAGCCCGACACCUUUAUCAUCCCCUUCCUCCGCCCCUCGUUCGCCCUUAAGAUCCGAAAGACAAAUUCAACAAAGAUGAAUCCAUCUUCCUCCACUAGUGACGUAGGAAAUAAGGCAGUCCCUAAUUCAGGUAACUACAGGAUAUCCUUACUCGUACAAAAUGCCCAGCUGUUGUUCUUGUAAAUAUAGGUAUGCCUACCAUCGGCACCAUCACCAAACAAAGAAGGGCUCUAGCCACUACUUAUGACAAGAAAAAUAGGUGUUGUUACCUGUUUGCAUCUGAGAUUGCACAAUAUUGGAGGAACAUGCUUAAUUGGCCAGUGCAUUUGGCAGAUAUAGUAGUGUUUGUUCUGCUACUAGCAUCCUGUACUGUUUAGUUGGUAGGGUAUUAUAUAUUUUUCUUCUAGCCAAGAAUUAUUCAUUUUAGAUCUUGUUGCAUGAUGUGUCAUGUAUAUGACCAGUACUACUAUUUUUGCAUGUUUAUAUGUUUGUCCAUUGACUAGCUUAGCUAGCACAGUAGUGUUCUGUUCAAAUUUGAGGCAUAUAUUUGUUCAUGGGUGUCUUCGUUCCCAUGAGUGUGCUUUGAAACGUAGGGCGAAUCGGUAUUGUCUUGCUUGUCCCGCUGUGGUAAAAACAAAGCACCACUCUUACUUGAUGUGCAUGUGUUAAUAUGGCAAAAUGAUUGACAUUUGUUUGAUUUGUCUCUUCUCCGUAUAGAUAACUGAUAACCCAGAAGUAUAUGGGAUCACAUUAGUUUUCGAGGGUAGAGUGUAGCGACCCGGCCUCAGACGGUCAAGUCUCUGUGCUUAAGUGUCAUCCCUGGAUCGGUAUGCUAACACACACAGUACUCGAGGAUUUAUAACAGAGGUAAAUCACAUGUAUAAAGUAACGUAAUACUAUUACCUCAAUCCAUACAGCGGAAGAAACAACAAGGAGGUGGAUUCCCAUCAACACCAA